rnacentral:rRNA from 1 species
CUGGCUCAGGAUGAACGCUAGCGGCAGGCCUAAUACAUGCAAGUCGAGGGGCAGCACAGGUAGCAAUACUGGGUGGCGACCGGCAAACGGGUGCGGAACACGUACGCAACCUUCCUUUAAGCGGGGAAUAGCCCAGAGAAAUUUGGAUUAAUACCCCAUAAGAAUGUGAUCUGGCAUCAGGUAGCAUUUAAAGAUUUAUCACUUAAAGAUGGGCGUGCGUCUGAUUAGGUAGUUGGUGAGGUAACGGCUCACCAAGCCGACGAUCAGUAACUGGCGUGAGAGCGCGACCAGUCACACGGGCACUGAGACACGGGCCCGACUCCUACGGGAGGCAGCAGUAAGGAAUAUUGGUCAAUGGACGCAAGUCUGAACCA